CACCGGCGGACGGCUCAGUAACACGUCGGUAACCUACCCUCGGGAGGGGGAUAACCCCGGGAAACUGGGGCUAAUUCCCCAUAGGCCUGAGGUACUGGAAGGUCCUCAGGCCGAAAGGGGCUUAUGUCCGCCCGAGGAUGGGCCGGCGGCCGAUUAGGUAGUUGGUGGGGUAAUGGCCCACCAAGCCGAAGAUCGGUACGGGCUGUGAGAGCAGGAGCCCGGAGAUGGACACUGAGACACGGGUCCAGGCCCUACGGGGCGCAGCAGGCGCGAAACCUCCGCAAUGCGGGAAACCGCGACGGGGGGACCCCGAGUGCCGUGGCAACGCCACGGCUUUUCCGGAGUGUAAAAAGCUCCGGGAAUAAGGGCUGGGCAAGGCCGGUGGCAGCCGCCGCGGUAAUACCGGCGGCCCGAGUGGUGGCCGCUAUUAUUGGGCCUAAAGCGUCCGUAGCCGGGCCCGUAAGUCCCUGGCGAAAUCCCACGGCUCAACCGUGGGGCUUGCUGGGGAUACUGCGGGUCUUGGGACCGGGAGAGGCGGGGGGUACCCCUGGGGUAGGGGUGAAAUCCUAUAAUCCCAGGGGGACCGCCAGUGGCGAAGGCGCCCCGCUGGAACGGGUCCGACGGUGAGGGACGAAGGCCAGGGGAGCAAACCGGAUUAGAUACCCGGGUAGUCCUGGCUGUAAAGGAUGCGGGCUAUGUGUCGGGUGAGCCUCGAGCUCGCCCGGUGCCGUAGGGAAGCCGCUAAGCCCGCCGCCUGGGGAGUACGGCCGCAAGGCUGAACUUAAAGGAAUUGGCGGGAAU
rnacentral:rRNA from 1 species